rnacentral:rRNA from 1 species
UACGAAGGGUGCAAGCGUUGUUCGGAAUUACUGGGCGUAAAGGGCGCGUAGGCUGUUUUGUAAGUCUAAUGUGAAAUCCCCGGGCUUAACCCGGGACGUGCAUUGGAAACUGCAGAUCUUGAAUGCUUGAGAGGGUGGUGGAAUUCCAGGAGUAGAAGUGAAAUUCGUAGAUAUCUGGAGGAACACCUGAGGCGAAAGCGGCCACCUGGCAAGACAUUGACGCUGAGGCGCGAAAGUGCGGGGAGCAAACAGG